rnacentral:rRNA from 1 species
UACGUAGGGUGCAAGCGUUGUCCGGAAUUAUUGGGCGUAAAGGGCUCGUAGGCGGUCUGUCACGUCGGGAGUGAAAACUCAGGGCUUAACCCUGAGCCUGCUUCCGAUACGGGCAGACUAGAGGUAUGCAGGGGAGAACGGAAUUCCUGGUGUAGCGGUGAAAUGCGCAGAUAUCAGGAGGAACACCGGUGGCGAAGGCGGUGCUCUGGGCAUUACCUGACGCUGAGGAGCGAAAGUGUGGGGAGCGAACAGG